GCCCCCUCCGGGACAUUCAAUAAUAUUGGAAUGAUACAGAGAAGAUUAGCAUGUCUCCCGCGCAAGGAUGACUUGCACAAAUCGAGAAACAGUCUAACUAGUG